rnacentral:rRNA from 1 species
CCCUUAGAUGUUCUGGGCGGCCCGCGCACUACAAUGGCGUGUGCAGCGAGUGCCGAAGUAGAGUUUUCCGAGGUAUUCUUGCAAUGCUCGUUUUGAUGGGGAUAGACCCUUGCAACUGUUGGUUUUGAACGAGGAAUUCCUUGUAAGCAUGGUUUAUCAUCCGACGCUGAAUGCGUCCCUGCCCUUUGUACACACCGCCCGUCGCUCCUACCGAUGAGUCGCCCGGUGAAGUUCGUAGACCUCGUGAUUGCGGAUCACUGGGGGAAGCAAAAUGAACCUCGCGGUUUAGAGGAAGGAGAAGUCGUAACA